GUGUAACCAGAGAUGCUCCAGUUUACAGGAACUGCUUAAAUCAACAAAACCUGUUAGGUCUGUAUUGCUGUAAACUAUAUCAGUAGCUGAUUUUGCACUCUCUUUUCUAAACGCAUACAGUGAGAAAUCAGCGACUCUGCUGUUUGGGAAGAGAUUAAACAUUACUCAUGACUGUGUGGACAGGGCCUGUAAAGUAGGACACAAGCUGGGAUUAUCAUGGCCAGUGUUUAUCUCUCCUGUAUGAAGACUAGGACAAAUGUGAAAGAGAGAACAAUUAAAGACUGGUCAUAUUCCUCACGUAAGCACCUGGUAAAAUAUUAAGUAUCCCAUGCAAAAAUUAACCAAGGUUUUAUUGUGGCAAACGUGUAGUAACCAUGGUUUUUUGUGUAUUGUUUUUACUAUGGUUUUGGAAAACCAUGGCUAUUUUGUGGUUACCAACCAUGGUUUAACUGUAGUAAAACCAUAGUUAAUUUUUGUAAGCGAUUCAGUGGAUUAUUUUAGGGCAUACAGUACAGAUUUCACUUUGUGACCUAAUUACAUUUCUGAUGUUUAUAUCAGUCGUCACCAACCCUGUUCCUGGUGAUCUACCAUACUGCAUGCUUUAGAUCCAACCCUACCUCAAAUUUUAAGGAAGCUGUGAAAAGCUUGAUUAGCAGGUUCAGGUGUGUUUGGUUGUGGUUGGAUAUGAACUCUGCCGAAAAGAAGAUCUCCAGGAAAAGGAAAUAAACUCAUAUGGUUGUGAAAGGACUUGAUGACAGAACCAGGCCACACAGCAAUGCAUUUUGGGAUUCCCAACAAGCCCGAGUAACACUGCGGCCAGAUCUCCUCCUGUGCCAGAGCAAUGCAGGACAUUUAAAGCAGGCAGGUCAGCAUUACUUCAGAGCAAUGAGCAUAAACAGUAAAGAAACUUAUAAUGUUAAUGAUUAUUAUUCACUCAAAUCUGAUAUUAGUGAGAUUUACAUUUACUUCUAUUGCUAUGUACAUUUCUUUGUCAUUUUUUGUGUUUUCCUAGGGUCGUAACCACAUCUUUGAUUAUAGGUGGAAACAUGUCCCACUAAAUGUCUAUUGUGGAUAAGAUCCUGUGUUACUUGGGAUCAAACCCAUGACCUUUUGUGCUGCUUAACAAAUGCUACUAAUUGUGCUACAAUUGACAAAGCUUGUUUUGACUAGAGGCAAAAACUGAAUUUAUCAAUUCACUGUUGUCAUGGAAAAUCAAUCUUUGCAUUUCAGCUGCGCCAUGAAAAGAUGAUGACAGCGAGCAUUCAGUGUCAUAGACUUGCGUCAAUAGCUUUGAGUGUUACAUAGAUUUAAUCCACACCAUUUCUAUAGUCGAAAUGUAUGUUAAUUUAAGAUUUCAAGUACUUUAAAUAAAAAUAUCUAAAAUGAAGUAUCCAUCCUUCCACUGAUGAAUUCCUGGCGGCACCUUUAUGACAGUUUCCAUUGGCUGAUACCCAACAGCUCACCUUUUAAAAUUCACCCCUGGCAUACGAUAAACACCUGUCCACCCUUUCACGCCUGUCCCGCUAUAUAGACCCAUUUUCCCUUAUCACUGGCAGCUCAUUAAGACAGCCUUCAUGGGCAACAGUCAAAGGCCAAAUAUCUGGCACCCUUUUGUAAAUGCUUUUCAUGUUUCAAAGUGUAUCAUAACUUAUCAUUCAGCUUUUUAUGCCCUGUCAAUUCUAAAUCAGCACACUUUCAGUAGACUACUCAGUUUUCCUGUCAUGUGUGAACAGCUGGGAGCCUCUGAAAGCCUAAGUUCAUGCAAGCAGAGGUGAGGACCGGUCUGAUUACGGCACCAGAAUGUCUCUGACCCUCAGGCGAAUACAGACAGAUCAUUGUUUGGAGAUACAGUGUCUCCUGUAAGUGCAGAAACGUUACAUUGUAUCAGCUUCACAUUAACAAAUGAUCUAUACUGAGCAAAGAACUACGUUACUGGGAGGGGGGAAUGUGAAUUUGAUGAAUGCCAUGUUUUGUUGUCACUUUUAAAGUCAAAGUUAUUAAUGUUUAUUUGUUUCUAAUGUUAUUUUAUAGCUCAUUAUUUAUAAUUUUCAAUAAUAUUUUGUGUUUGUUUUUAUAUGCUUAAAAUGCUGAGUUGUUUUUUACACAUAGCUGGUGAAAUAUUGGACAGAACAAACACAUUGGAUAAACCUAUGCUGGGUUGUUUAAAGCUAAAUGGAAACAACAACCCACAUAGGUUUAUUUAAAACCCAGCGUGUGUGUGUUCUGUCCCAUAUUUAACCAGCAAUGGGUUAAAUGUGCCAAAGAAUGCAUUGAAAUAAUAUGUUUAAAUUGUUCUAAAGUUUCUAAAUAGGUGAUAAUGUGUUAUAUUCUUAUUAAUAAUAACAGUUUAUUCACUUUGUUCUCAAAUUAAAUUAUACUGCAAACCACUUUUCUCUGCAGAUCCUCAUUUGCCCUCCAUACCCUCAUUAUGACCUUUAAGAGCUCUCAUCUUAAAGCGAUACUCCAGCCAAAUAUCAAAAUUACCCCAUGAUUUACUCACCCUCAAGCAAUCUGAUAUUCAUAUGUCCAUCAU